UACGGAGGGUGCAAACGUUGCUCGGAAUCAUUGGGCGUAAAGCGCAUGUAGGCGGUCGGCUAUGUCGGAUGUGAAAGCCUCGGGCUUAACCCGAGAAGUGCAUCCGAAACUGGCCGGCUUGAGUACGGAAGAGGAUCGCGGAAUUCCCGGUGUAGAGGUGAAAUUCGUAGAUAUCGGGGGGAACACCAGUGGCGAAGGCGGCGAUCUGGGCUGAUACUGACGCUGAGGUGCGAAAGCGUGGGGAGCAAACAGG
rnacentral:rRNA from 1 species